GUGCUCUUAACUGCUACACACUAUUCUCAAGUCUAUGCACCUACUUUUAUAGGCCCAAAACCUAGUUUGCAUCAAAACCUGGCUUUCACAAGAACUCAAAAAUCUUUUCAGUCAUUGGAUCUUUCCCGCAAGCAUUUCUGACCCUUGGAUCGCACAUCUGCUCCUUCGUGACUGUUGGAUCAUGCAAGCAGCUCCCGUGAACCGUGAUGUUUGCCUCAUGAACCAAGGCGGUCCACAGCGCUUGCAUGGACCAUGA
rnacentral:lncRNA from 1 species